GUGAGGUAAUGGCUCACCAAGGCAAUGACGGGUAGCGGGACUGAGAGGUUGGCCCGCAACAUCGGGACUGAGACACUGCCCGGACCUCCACGGAGGGCUGCAGUAACGAAUAUUGGGCAAUGAGCGAAAGCUUGACCCAGCGACGCCGCGUGUAGGAGGAAGUCCUUCGGGAUGUAAACUACUGUCAGGGGGAAGAAAGUGCGUUUCGGCGCAUUGAUCUAACCCAGAGGAAGUCACGGCUAACUUCGUGCCAGCAGCCGCGGUAAGACGAAGGUGGCAAGCGUUGUUCGGUAUCACUGGGCUUAAAGCGUGUGUAGGCGGAAGCGUAAGCGUUUUGUGAAAUCCCUCGGCUUAACCGAGGAAUUGCUUGACGAACUGCGUUUCUUGAGGCAGGUAGGGGUGCGCAGAACUCUUGGUGGAGCGGUGGAAUGCGUAGAUAUCAAGAGGAAUGCCGGUGGAGAAGUCGGUGCACUGGGCCUGACCUGACGCUGAGACACGAAAGCGUGGGGAGCGAACGGGAUUAGAUACCCCGGUAGUCCACGCCGUAAACGAUGUCUACUAGGUUGUGGCGGUUCUGACGCCGGCACAGCCGAAGCUAAAGUGUUA
rnacentral:rRNA from 1 species